rnacentral:miRNA from 1 species
CUAGGCUUUUCCAGUCCAGGCAGCACCCUCAGGAGGCAGGCAUAAUGGAUAGAGAGGGGACACUGGACUUGGAGUCAGAAGACCCGAG